rnacentral:rRNA from 1 species
GUGAGGAAUAUUGGUCAAUGGACGAGAGUCUGAACCAGCCAAGUCGCGUGAAGGAAGACGGUUCUAUGAAUUGUAAACUUCUUUUGUGCAGGAAUAAAGUGGGUUACGUGUAACCUUUUGUAUGUACUGUACGAAUAAGGAUCGGCUAACUCCGUGCCAGCAGCCGCGGUAAUACGGAGGAUCCGAGCGUUAUCCGGAUUUAUUGGGUUUAAAGGGUGCGUAGGUGGAUUGAUAAGUCAGCGGUGAAAGUUUGCAGCUUAACUGUAAAAUUGCCGUUGAAACUGUCGGUCUUGAGUACAAAUGAGGUAGGCGGAAUGUGUUGUGUAGCGGUGAAAUGCUUAGAUAUAACACAGAACUCCGAUUGCGAAGGCAGCUUACUGGGAUGCAACUGACACUGAUGCACGAAAGCGUGGGUAUCAAACAGGAUUAGAAACCCGGGUAGUCC